UCCCAACCGUCAGCUACCCACACGGGUGCCUCCAGCAGGGACUCCAACCCACUCACUUCCCCACCAUUCCGCUCCAGAAAUCAGACCCAAUUCCCAGAAGGUAUUGAAAUGCCUCUUGAACAGAGGUAUGUGCCUCAAUUCUUGUACAAUACCCUAUUAUGCUUCUAUUCCCUGCAAGAUCAACCCACUCACACUCUCCUACUGUUGUGCUCUAGAAGUCAGAUUCGCUUCCCAUAAGGUAUUGAGAUGUGAUUCGAUUAUCUAUGGUUGUCAAUGUCUGAGUUCUCUGGCUUCUAUUCCCAGCAAGACCAACCCACUUACUCUCCUACCGUUAUGCUCCGAAGUUUGGUUCGCUUCUGUAUUGAAGUGUGACUCGAUCAGAAUUAUAAAAAAAAGGAUGUGUGUAGCAGAUGAAGCCCAAGCCUUCAAUCUUCAUGUCCCCAAAUAGAUGAAAGAUGAGUGCCCAAUUGCAAAAUUCUUUCUUCAUAACAAGUCAUCACUGUACCUUUUGGGGUUUGCUUUUUUUUAAUAUAACGAUUUAUCUGAGGAAGUGAGGAAGCUCACCACCUGCUUGAAGUAAAGCAUUCCUGGAACGAUACUACUUACUUUGUAUAUAUUGAUUAAGUAUAGUUGCCUAUACUAUUUAUUUGUAAACAUGAUAGUUUCUUUUGUCUGUGCUCUCACUUGUCUUAAGAGUAAGAGGAUUAAAACACUGCGCAACUCAACCAAAUGCAAACUAUCUAUUCAACCAGGUGUAUCCAAUAACUCAUUUGAAGAAUUUAUGGUGAUGUAUUUUGUCCAAGCUCAUCUUUUGCUUCAUGUAUUGGGUUGUCUUCUACAUUUGUGAAUGAAUUUGUAUCUUCCAUAACUGAAAGAGCCAACUAGUUGGUUUCUAUCUCUAUGGUUAAACCUCA